UUUAAUGAGAGUUUGAUCCUGGCUCAGGACGAACGCUGGCGGCGUGCCUAAUACAUGCAAGUAGAACGCUGAGGUUUGGUGUUUACACUAGACUGAUGAGUUGCGAACGGGUGAGUAACGCGUAGGUAACCUGCCUCAUAGCGGGGGAUAACUAUUGGAAACGAUAGCUAAUACCGCAUAAGAGUAAUUAACACAUGUUAGUUAUUUAAAAGGAGCAAUUGCUUCACUGUGAGAUGGACCUGCGUUGUAUUAGCUAGUUGGUGAGGUAAAGGCUCACCAAGGCGACGAUACAUAGCCGCUCUGAGAGGGUGAUCGGCCACACUGGGACUGAGACACGGCCCAGACUCCUGCGGGAGGCAGCAGGAGGGAGUCUACGGCAAUGGGCGGAAGGCUGGCGGGGCAACG
rnacentral:rRNA from 1 species